rnacentral:rRNA from 1 species
AAGCUCGUAGUUGAAUUUCGGGGUUCUACCGUCGGUCGGGCUACCAAGUCUGUACUGGUGUGUAGAAUUUCUACCUUCUGGAGAACCAUCAUGUUAUUAAUUUAGCGUGGUGGGAAACCAGGACCUUUACCUUGAAAAAAUUAGAGUGUUCAAAGCAGGCUUAUGUCUGAAUACAUUAGCAUGGAAUAAUAGAAUAGGACGGUGGUCCUGUUUUGUUGGUUUCUGAAUCGCCGUAAUGAUUAAUAGGGAUAGUUGGG